rnacentral:tRNA from 2 species
ACUCAAGAGGCUGAAGAGGACGGUUUGCUAAAUCGUUAGGUCGGGUAACUGGCGCGGGGGUUCGAAUCCCCCAUUCU